rnacentral:rRNA from 1 species
UAAGGAAUAUUGGUCAAUGGACGCAAGUCUGAACCAGCCAUGCCGCGUGAAGGAUGAAGGUCCUCUGGAUUGUAAACUUCUUUUAUCUGGGACGAAAACGGGAUUUUUAUCUCAAUUGACGGUACCAGAGGAAUAAGCACCGGCUAACUACGUGCCAGCAGCCGCGGUAAUACGUAGGGUGCGAGCGUUAAUCGGAAUUACUGGGCGUAAAGCGUGCGCAGGCGGUUUUGUAAGACAGAGGUGAAAUCCCCGGGCUCAACCUGGGAACGGCCUUUGUGACUGCAAGGCUGGAGUGCGGCAGAGGGCGAUGGAAUUCCGCGUGUAGCAGUGAAAUGCGUAGAUAUCAGGAGGAACACCGGUGGCGAAGGCGGCCUUCUGGACGGCUACUGACGCUGAGACGCGAAAGCGUGGGGAGCAAACA